rnacentral:misc_RNA from 1 species
AUGUCUCAGAUUGCACACAACUGUACAUCAAGUUCAGAAAGCAACAGAACAGACAGUGAUCAUGAUUCCACAGAAAGUUCUGAUAUGGCUCGAAAAAGAAAAGACAACCAUCAAAGACAAAAGCGUAGAAUAAAAUCCCCUCGUCAGGAUAAAAGACAGUUGAGUAGAAAAGGAUCCAGUACAAGUGACCAAGAAAGACAUUUUUUUAGAUCUGAAAAGUCAAAGCCAUCUAACAAUGCUUAUAAUGUUUUUAAGCAUCCAAAAAUUCACACAAGGCCAAACAGUGGCAGUUGUAAAUUACCAGAUUCUGAAUCACAAUAUUCAGAAUGUGUUGAAGGCCUUCCUCAACCAAGUGAGUCAAAACAGUCCCCACAAGCAGGAAGUCAGAACAAAGGAUCAUCUACCUCACAAAUGUCAGAGACAUUUACUGUUGAUUCUUCAGAGUCUUUGUUGAUGGCUAUUUCAAGAGCGCAGAGUAAUCCAGGAGUCCAAGAUCCUUGUGAACAGGAUGAAAAAUCUCAUAGAAGAAAACGUAGUAAAGAUUUAAAAUUGUCUGAAGUAGUGGAUGAAGAUAUGAAUCAAAAUCAAGCUAGUCCAAGUUCAGGGAGUGUAAAUUCCUAUUCCUUUAAUAUUGCUGAAGAAAAUAUUAAACUACAUGGUAACUAUAUAAACAGAACAGAUGAUUUACCAAGAGAAAAAACACAACCACUCAAAAAAACUAAAAAUAAAGAAUAUGAAUGGCGUAGAGACAUUGAAAUGUCUAGUCAUAUGAAGGAUCAAGAAAAGAAAGAUGUAAAAAAGGCAUGGGUAAAAGAAUCUCCAACUGCUGGAGAAGUGCACGGAAUUCCUAUCAUUGAUGCCAGUAAAAGGCAUUCCUCUGGUAGUAGGCCAAGUAGUCCUGCUCCCACUGAUGCUUCUGAAAAAUCAGAAAAGAAACGAUCAGUGGCUGAGCUUUUAGAGAAAUUUUCCAGUAAAACCAGUUCAAAUUUUGGUACCAGUUCUCUAGGAACUGAGGGAAGUGAACAACAUCAAAGUCAGCCUCUGAAGUCAAGAAGGACUUGUAGUAAUGAAGAUGUUAGUAUCAUGCCAGAGAAUAGAAGAACUCCUACUAAGAAUAUGUCUCCUUCUUCUGGAGAAAGAAGGAGGACUCCUUCUAAUGGCUCAGAGAGUGAUGUUUCAGAAAUUUCAAAUUUUUCGGCUGCAAGACAGCUAGACAUGGAUAAAAAACCAAUACUUGGAACUACUGGAAUAAAUAAAUUAUUACAAAAACUACAAAACUUCUCUAAGAGCCAGGAAGAAUCUUUACAAAACAGAGCACAGAAAAUGAAGAAAAAAUGUGAAAAAUCUGAAAACUCUGGAAUUGAAGAGGAACAAAGGCGUCUUAGACGCAUAAGUGGGGGCAGUGAUGGAGAUUCAGUAAUGGAAAGAACAGUUCAUCAAAGCGAUAGCUCCUCACAGUCGGACGACCCACAACUAAAUAAAAAACCAUACAAGACUCAUAAAAGCAACGUCAAUCAUCUGCUCCCUCCACACCCUCCCACCAUUCAGCCAACAGUAGUCCUGGCAGUCAUUUUGAUGACUACACUUCAAGGCCGAAGACAAAUGUUAAACGUACAGCAUCCUUUCAUGGUGAAACACCGUCAGCAAAAAAGGAGGUACAACCAAGAAGAAGUGGAUCUGAUGUAA